UACGAAGGGAGCUAGCGUUGUUCGGAAUCACUGGGCGUAAAGCGCACGUAGCGGAUUUGCCAGUCAGGGGUGAAAUCCCGGGGCUCAACCUCGGAACGUGCCUUUGAUACAGCAAGUCUCGAGUCCGGAAGAGGUGAGUGGAAUUCCGUAGUGUAGAGGUGAAAUGCGCAGAUAUCAGGAGGAACACCAAUUGCGAAGGCAGCUCGCUGGGACGUAACUGACGCUGAGACGCGAAAGCGUGGGGAGCAAACAGG
rnacentral:rRNA from 1 species